AUUCCAGCUCCAAGAGCGUAUAUCAAAGUUGCCGCGGUUAAAAAGCUCGUAGUUGGAUCUAAGUCUUGGAAGGUUAACUCGCCGAAAGGUUGUACGUUGAUUUUCCUCAGACUUCGUCAGAACCUCGUGCUGCACUUAACUGUGUGGUACGAUGUUCUGACCUUUUACCUCGAGGAAAGCAGAGUGUUUCAGGCAGGCUACCCAGCUUGGAAACAUUAGCAUGGAAUAAUGAAAUGGAUCUCGGUUCCACUCUAGAGCUGAAGUGAUGAUCAAUAGGAACAGGCGAAGGUAUUCGCACUUGAGAGUGAGGAGUGAAAUCCGAUGAUCUCUUAAAGGCGGCCCGAGGCGAAAGCAUUUGUCAAGGAUGUGUUCAUCG
rnacentral:rRNA from 1 species